rnacentral:rRNA from 1 species
CCUACGGGAGGCAGCAGUGGGGAAUAUUGCACAAUGGGGGAAACCCUGAUGCAGCGACGCCGCGUGAGUGAAGAAGGAAUUCGUUAUGUAAAGCUCUAUCAGCAGGGAAGAAAAUGACGGUACCUGAGGAAGAAGCCCCGGCUAACUACGUGCCAGCAGCCGCGGUAAUGAGGAGGGGGCAAGCGUUAUCCGGAUUUACUGGGUGUAAAGGGAGCGUAGACGGCAGUGCAAGUCUGGAGUGAAAGGCGGGGGCUCAACCCGCGGACUGCGCUGGAAACUGUACGGCUGGAGUGCAGGAGAGGUAAGUGGAAUUCCUGGUGUAGCGGUGAAAUGCGUAGAUAUUAGGAGGAACCCCGGUGGCGAAGGCGGCUUACUGGACUGUAACUGACGUUGAGGCUCGAAAGCGUGGGGAGCAAACAGGAUUAGAUACCCCUGUAGUC